rnacentral:rRNA from 1 species
CCUACGGGUGGCAGCAGUGAGGAAUAUUGGUCAAUGGGCGGAAGCCUGAACCAGCGAAGUCGCGUGAGGGAAUAAGGCCCUACGGGUCGUAAACCUCUUUUGCCGGGGAGCAAGGGCCGGGACGAGUCCCGGUCCGGAGAGUACCCGGAGAAAAAGCAUCGGCUAACUCCGUGCCAGCAGCCGCGGUAAGACGGAGGAAGCGAGCGUUAUCCGGAUUGAUUUGGUUUAAAGGGUGCGUAGGCGGGCUUUUAAGUCAGCGGUAAAAAUUCGGGGCUCAACCCCGUCCGGCCGUUGAAACUGGGGGCCUUGAGUGGGAGAGAAGAAGGCGGAAUGCGUGGUGGAGCGGUGAAAUGCAUAGAUAUCACGCAGAACCCCGAUUGCGAAGGCAGCCUUCCGGCGCCCUACUGACGCUGAGGCACGAAAGUGCGGGGAUCGAACAGGAUUAGAUACCCCAGUAGUC